UAGGGAAUCUUCCGCAAUGGACGCAAGUCUGACGGAGCAACGCCGCGUGAGUGAAGAAGGAUUUCGGUUCGUAAAACUCUGUUGUUAGAGAAGAACAGCGCAUAGAGUAACUGUUAUGCGUGUGACGGUAUCUAACCAGAAAGCCACGGCUAACUACGUGCCAGCAGCCGCGGUAAUACGUAGGUGGCAAGCGUUGUCCGGAUUUAUUGGGCGUAAAGCGAGCGCAGGCGGUCAAUUAAGUCUGAUGUGAAAGCCCCCGGCUCAACCGGGGAGGGUCAUUGGAAACUGGUUGACUUGAGUGCAGAAGAGGAGAGUGGAAUUCCAUGUGUAGCGGUGAAAUGCGUAGAUAUAUGGAGGAACACCAGUGGAGAAGGCGACUCUCUGGUCUGUAACUGACGCUGAGGCUCGAAAGCGUGGGUAGCAAACAGG
rnacentral:rRNA from 1 species